rnacentral:tRNA from 2 species
GGGCCGUUAGCUCAGUUGGUAGAGCAGCUGACUCUUAAUCAGCGGGUCGCAGGUUCGAAUCCUGCACGGCCCACCA